UAAAUGUCUUAGGAAAUAUCGUAGUUAGCACAAUGAUUAAGUUGGAAAUGGGAGGUGAUCCCAUUAACUUAAUCUUGGGGCAAUUGGGCCCCUGAAAAACCCAAAUUGGGUCGAAUGGAUCAACCCAUUCGGACCCUGAUUUCUGCCAGGCGGUUGAACCGCCCCAGCCAGGCGGUGGCACCGCUUGGGCUCAGUCUCCGAGCGAGACUAGGUGGUGCAACCGCCCCUGACAGGAGGUGGCACCGCCUGAGCUUGGUCUUCGAGCUUUGGCAGGAGGUGCAACCGCCUCAGUCAGGCGGUGGCACCGCCUGAGCUCGAUCUUCGAGCUCUAGCAGGAGGUGCAACCACCCUUGACAGGAGGUGGCACCACCAAGAGGCUCAGUCUUCGAGCUCUGCCAGGCGGUGCAACCGCC
rnacentral:lncRNA from 1 species